ACUGCCCGUACUUUUGAGGAAAACGGGCAGGUUUCUCGACUCGUUCCCUUACAUUGAGAAGGGAUUGCGUGACGAUUAGUUUAGAAACCGCGUGACGCAGCAUGACAACGUCAACGCGAUUGGUCGACAGUAUGCUGGAUGAGUCCUGUCUCUAAUAUUUCUGCCACAAGCUGGCUACCAAGACUUCUUCUGCUGCUAGCAAAGAUUCUUCGGAGCUGUAAUCGGAGACUUUGGCCAAUACAUAACUGUUGUAUUUAUUAUUUCGUCAGCCCUUCAAAGGAAACCAGGAUCCGUCGAGAGAUGGGAGAACCUGCUCAUCUCAGAGAUUGUCCUCUGGAUUGCAAGGUGUAUGUAGGGAACUUGGGCAACAGUGGAAACAAGACUGAGUUGGAGAGGGCGUUUGGGUACUAUGGCCCUCUGCGGAGUGUGUGGGUGGCCAGGAACCCCCCAGGUUUUGCCUUUGUCGAGUUUGAGGAUCCCAGAGAUGCAACCGAUGCUGUGAGAGAACUGGAUGGACGGACGCUGUGUGGCUGCAGAGUGAGAGUUGAAUUGUCCAAUGGGGAGAAACGCUCGAGGAGCCGUGGCCCUCCUCCCUCCUGGAGCCGUCGCCCUGGACGUGAAGACUACAGCAGCAGGCGCCGUGGGAGCCCGCCUGUCAGACGCCGAGUCAUCACCAUCCCUCUUCUCACCACCCUCUCAGACAGUCAACUAGUCCUCUUACAGCAUCAUGUGACCCCUGACCAGCGCCAGCACCGUGCCCCACCCAAUCAGCUUGGCUGGUGUCGUGUCACAUGACCCAGGCAUGGCCAGUCAUGUUCCAGCCUAUUGGUUCCUGAGCAUGCAGCUCUCAGCCUCCUCCAACCUUAACCCAAUCGGCAUCGUCGCAGCCCACCUCACAAUUCCGACCAAUCAGCGAUUUUAACUCCUUUCCCCAAUUAUCAACACAACUACCUACAAGCAGCACAGCAGCCCUCGGCUAACCCCAAAAAGACAGGGAAAAUCUACAACUACUGUACCCCCUCCAGCCAACCAACUUCAUAUCUCCAACACUUGCAACUUGUGGCAAAUCCUCUCUGCAAAUUCUACCUCCCUCGCCAUCAGUCUGGCUUCCUUGCGUCAUUUCUAUCUUGUGUCCAAACCUGAAAAAAUAGUAAGUUCCUUUUCUCCUGCUUUUUGUAGUGUCAUGCUUACCACAGGUUUGGUUUUACAGCUGCUUGAUGGUAUGAAAUUGGCGGUCAUGGAAAUUGUCGUUUGAAUUUAGUUUCAAACAUCAACUUGUGAGUACAAUAAUAAGAAUCUUGAAUCUCCCUCCCAUAUUUCACAAAUGAAAAGCUUUUAUCCUUAAACUCAAAAGUUCUGUGGUCUUGGAGCUGCCCUGGUUAGCAUGAACUGUAUGAGGUCCAAUAUUGGUAGUGUGCCCUAUGUACAUCUAUGCAACAAAACAGUACAGUAUGUAGCUUAAGUCUGCAUACCUGUACUUAAAAAAUGUUCUCUCUAAUUCAUUCUCACUUGGUUUUAUAAGCGGUCUCAUUUUGACCUCAGUUGGUUGUCCAAGCAUUCUGUCCUCUAGCAGGGGUGCAGAGAGGAUGUCCUAUUCUGAUCUGUCUGCAGAAAGAGGAAGGCUGUGUGGUAUUGUUAAAUGAUUGGAAUGGUGUUUCUUCAGGGAUAAGGAAUGCCAUAUUUGAUUGGAGUUGAUGCCUUUAUGCACUGUAUAAACUGUUUUUCCUGCUCCAUCCACCUCCAGCUCUCCUAGGAGGAGGAGCUUCAGCCGCAGUCGCAGCAGGUCUCUGUCAAGAGAUCGAAGAAGAGAGAGGUCUAUCUCCAGAGACAGGAACCAUAAACCUUCAAGAUCCUUCUCAAGGUCUCGGAGCCGCUCCAGGACCGCUGAGAGAAAGUGAGUGUCUGACAGUCUGAACUCAGUCCAAACCUGAGGAUGUCUUGUAUAGAAUCAGGUUCUGGAUGAGUGCAUUUCAUUUUUAAAUGAUUAACCUUUUUAGAUUUGUGUUUAGGUGAGACAGCCAUGUCUGUCCAUCUGUGAAACGACUUUUUUGGAAAGCUGUAUAGUUCAAUUUACUGUCUUUAUUGUACCAAAAUGUCUCAUUUUCACUUGUUUAAGCAUACAGAUGACUGACUUACUGUCCAACUACACCUAACACAUUGUCCAAUAGGGGCAGGGGUUGGUUUUGAACAUUCAGUCCAGCCUUAAUAUAGGGAGUAUCUGUCAAUGUGGGAAUAACAUAACUACAUUAUUUGUUUCUGUUAAACUGUUUGAAGAGAUUGAAUUAAACAUUUGGUAACAUGUU